rnacentral:rRNA from 1 species
CCUACGGGGGGCAGCAGUGGGGAAUAUUGCACAAUGGGGGAAACCCUGAUGCAGCGACGCCGCGUGAGUGAAGAAGUAUUUCGGUUUGUAAAGCUCUAUCAGCAGGGAAGAUAAUGACGGUAUCUGAUUAAGAAGCACCGGCUAACUACGUGCCAGCAGCCGCGGUAAUACGUAGGGGGCAAGCGUUAUCCGGAUUUACUGGGUGUAAAGGGAGCGUAGACGGGAGCACAAGUCUGGAGUGAAAUGCUGGGGCUUAACCCCGGAACUGCUUUGGAAACUGUGCAGCUAGAGUGUGGGAGAGGUAAGUGGAAUUCCUAGUGUAGCGGUGAAAUGCGUAGAGAUUAGGAGGAACACCAGUGGCGAAGGCGACUUGCUGGACUGUAACUGACGUUGAGGCUCGAAAGCGUGGGGAGCAAACAGGAUUAGAUACCCGGGUAGUC